CAGUAAGUGGAUUAGAUACCCCAGUAGUCCACGCCGUAAACGAUGAGUACUAGGUGUUGGGGGUAUCGACCCCCUCAGUGCCGAAGCUAACGCGAUAAGUACUCCGCCUGAGGACUACGGCCGCAAGGCUAAAACUCAAAGGAAUUGACGGGGGCCCGCACAAGCAGCGGAGCGUGUGGUUUAAUUCGAUGGUACGCGAAGAACCUUACCCGGAUUUGACAUGCAUGUGGUACCG
rnacentral:rRNA from 1 species